rnacentral:rRNA from 1 species
GCAGGACUCGAUAGGUGACCUGCGGAGGGUCAUUA